rnacentral:misc_RNA from 1 species
UCAAACUUGGUCAUUUAGAGGAAGUAAAAGUCGUAACAAGGUUUCUGUAGGUGAACCUGCAGAAGGAUCAUUAGUGAAUUGCCUGGGGUUUGAGAUACGCACGCUAACACAACGUGCCUCUCCCCCAAUCCACUAUUUAUCCACAAACCCUGUGCACCGUGUGGAAGCGCGUUUGGAUUGCUAAUGGCGUCCGAGCGCCUUCCUUCUCUAAAAACACGCAUGUUUGUAUGAACGUGAUGGAUGUUGGUUCACAACCAACGAACAAAACACAACUUUCGACAACGGAUCUCUUGGUUCUCCCAUCGAUGAAGAACGCAGC